rnacentral:rRNA from 1 species
UACGUAGGGCGCAAGCGUUGUCCGGAAUUAUUGGGCGUAAAGAGCUCGUAGGCGGCUUGUCACGUCGGGUGUGAAAGCCCGGGGCUUAACUGUGGGCGUGCGGUCGAUACGGGCAUCACUGGAGUUCGGCAGGGGAGACUGGAAUUCCUGGUGUAGCGGUGAAAUGCGCAGAUAUCAGGAGGAACACCGGUGGCGAAGGCGGGUCUCUGGGCCGAUACUGACGCUGAGGCGCGAAAGCCAGGGGAGCGAACGGG